rnacentral:lncRNA from 1 species
UUUAGCCUUUGGGUUUGAGGCCAUCAUAUCGAUAGAACUAGAAAUUUUGUCCAUGCGCACAACACUAGCACACAGGUUGGAGAUUAAGAUAAUCUCAAAGCAAGGCUAUUGAUGUUGGAAAGGCUUGAAGAAGGGUGGCAACUAGCAUUGCUCUCGAAUCACACAGCUCAACAAAGAAAGAAACUCAUGUACAAUGCAAAGUCUAAAAUCAUAGAGUUUCAAGUCCAGGACUUGGUCCUCUAGAUUGACAGUUGGAUGAUGAAGCAGAGGGGGCAAAAGUUUCAGCCUCGUUGGAAUGGGUCAUUUCAGGUAUACAAGAAAUAUGACAAUGGGACUUACAGGCUUGCAUCUUUAGAUGAGCAGAAUGUUGAUCGACAUGUCAAUGGAUCGAAACUCAAGAUGUAUGACUUUGCUCUGCACUGGUCGUGGGUCUCCAACUCAUGACCUAUGCAUCUGGAGGUGAUGUUCUGAGUAGAAAUUUUCCACCUCGUCAGCAAUGAGGGUCAUUCGAAUUAAUCAUGCAACGGUGAGUUUGGGGCAACCUAACCAACUUGCAGUGAUCCGAUUCUGAAGACUACUACUCGAUCCCCGACAUGAGGCAUGAUUCUCAAGGUAAGGGAGGAGUGGAGCUUAGGGGAUGACUCACCAGCUCGGGUGAUGAGUGAUCUAUUAGCUUGCUAGUGCCUACGGGUAUGAAUCAGACAGGAGGCCAUGUAUUUGCUAGUGAGAGCCGCGGAAUUCAUGCGAACAUGUGACCUUUGUAUCACCUUCGUUUAAUAAAGUUUAGCUUUCUGUUAUCAGCCAUGACGAAUCUGUUUAGUAGAGUAUGAUUCUCGUGAGUCAUGGGUGUCAGUCUGGUAUGUUGGAUCAAAGCCAGAAGCAGGAGGGAUGAGGCCGAGAGAAGAGGGGAUUGUCGGAG